GGUUCCGCCUGCCCAGUGACUCUUUAAACGGCCGCGGUAUCCUAACCGUGCAAAGGUAGCAUAAUCACUUGUCCUCUAAAUCAGGACUAGAAUGAAUGGCUAAAUGAGGACUAAACUGUCUCUUACGGACCAGCCAAUGAAAUUGAUUUCCCAGUACAAAAGCUGGGAUAUACUCAUAAGACGAGAAGACCCUGUGGAGCUUCAAAACCAAACCACCCAGCAUGCUCCUUGGAUUUUUAGUUGGGGCGACUUCGGAAUAUAAAAAAACUUCCAAAAUGAAAUAAUUUUAUUAAGGUUAACACACCAAAAUUAGCCCACUAGACCCAGCAACUAACUGUUAGUCUGAUUAAUGAACCAAGUUACCCCAGGGAUAACAGCGCAAUCUCCUUUUAGAGUCCAUAUCGACAAGGAG
rnacentral:rRNA from 1 species